rnacentral:rRNA from 1 species
GAUGAACGCUGGCGGCGUGCCUAAUACAUGCAAGUCGAGCGAACAGAUGAGGAGCUUGCUCCUCUGACGUUAGCGGCGGACGGGUGAGUAACACGUGGAUAACCUACCUAUAAGACUGGGAUAACUUCGGGAAACCGGAGCUAAUACCGGAUAAUAUAUUGAACCGCAUGGUUCCAUAGUGAAAGACGGUUUUGCUGUCACUUAUAGAUGGAUCCGCGCCGCAUUAGCUAGUUGGUAAGGUAACGGCUUACCAAGGCAACGAUGCGUAGCCGACCUGAGAGGGUGAUCGGCCACACUGGAACUGAGACACGGUCCAGACUCCUACGGGAGGCAGCAGUAGGGAAUCUUCCGCAAUGGGCGAAAGCCUGACGGAGCAACGCCGCGUGAGUGAUGAAGGUCUUCGGAUCGUAAAACUCUGUUAUUAGGGAAGAACAAAUGUGUAAGUAACUAUGCACGUCUUGACGGUACCUAAUCAGAAAGCCACGGCUAACUACGUG